rnacentral:rRNA from 1 species
GAUGAACGCUAGCGAUAGGCUUAACACAUGCAAGUCGAGGGGCAGCACAAGGUAGCUUGCUAUCUGGGUGGCGACCGGCGCACGGGUGCGUAACGCGUAUGCAACUUGCCCUAUACAGGAGGAUAACCCGUCGAAAGACGGACUAAUACUGCGUAUGCUCACAACUUGGCAUCAAGUGGUGAGGAAAGAAAUUCGGUAUAGGAUAGGCAUGCGUCCCAUUAGCUUGUUGGUGAGGUAACGGCUCACCAAGGCAACGAUGGGUAGGGGAACUGAGAGGUUUAUCCCCCACACUGGUACUGAGACACGGACCAGACUCCUACGGGAGGCAGCAGUGAGGAAUACUGGCCAAUGGGCGCGAGCCUGAACCAGCCAAGUCGCGUGAAGGAUGACUGUCUUAUGGAUUGUAAACUUCUUUUAUACGGGAAUAACAAGAGUCACGUGUGACUCCCUGCAUGUACCGUAUGAAUAAGCAUCGGCUAACUCCGUG